GAUCUUGCGAAUCUUCGUCGAUUCGAAGGUGUAGGAUCGCUCUUAAUGCUUACCUUUUUUACACUCGGUACAUAUAAGACAGGAAAUACGAUAAAUGUUGACUUUAAGGGUGGCAGAUCUUGACCUUGACGCAUGUUGUCAAGGACACUCUCUUGAGCAACCCCGAGAAGGUUUUAGCCGUUGCUGGUUAUUCCUUAUAAAGUUAAUAAGAGAAAAUUGCCGUCACCGUCACAGCGAACGAACUCUGCCUACAACUGUGCGUUCGUGGCGUACGCGUGUAGUACCGGUUGCCGAUCGGCCGGCGUUGCGCGUAGAAUCUUAAUUGCAAAGCGCCGAGGCAUAAUGGUAACGAUAAUUUUUUGCCAUUUGCGAAUAUCUCGACAACUAAGAUAGUCCGGUGUGCGUAGCUAUAGGAAAAACUUGUCGAAAACGUCGAUUUCCACGAAAUAUUUAAAGAUCAUGGAAAUCGGUAAUGCUAUUCGCUUUCUAAAUAUCUAAUUACCCUUGCUCUUAUCAACGAUAUGAUUUUUUCAAUCCGUAUCGAUCUCUCUUACUUCUACCGCUAUAGAUCCACCAUCGUAUAUACACGUAUAUAUCUGUUACUAAACGUUCUAACAUAGCGGCUAGGAUGACAUUACAAAUCGUCGAUGAACAAUAGCCGCGAUCCACGCAACAUACAUACUCGAGUACUUGUAUUUAGGCUGAACCAAGGGAACCUUCAACGUAUAUCGUCAAUAUUUAAAGUUGUCGACUAAAAAGAUCAAUAUAUACGUACAUUGUCAACACGAUAUUGUCAAUAUUUAUUGUCAAGCCACAUUUUUAUCGGCAACUUUAAGAUAUUGGCAAUAUUGUGGAUCGUCCGAGGACUCUCUAAUACGUUUAAUUACUUACAAAUUUAAAAUACUAUCGGGAUUCUAAUUAAAAAUACAUACGAAGUGAAGCGAUAUCAGAGACAUUACAUCCUUCUUUCGAUUUAUUUUACUCGGUACUUUUAUACGCGGUGAGAAAACAUAUUUUUCUAUAAUCUUCGUCGCAUUUACCGUGUUAUCAAGAACGAUGAGAUUUCACUAAGAAAGGAGAAGUUACGAAAAUCUACUACAAACAUUAAUCACUUUUGAACUGAAAUUUACUUUGAUUCAUUUUGUGAUUUUGAAAAAAAAACAAAAA